rnacentral:rRNA from 1 species
AUUGAACGCUGGCGGCAGGCCUAACACAUGCAAGUCGAGCGAGCGGCGGACGGGUGCGUAAGGUCGGGGAAACCGCCUGUUGCCGGCGGAUAAGUACGGGAUAACGCAGCGAAACCCGCGUACCAUCAGAUGUGCGCAGGUGGUAUUAGCUAGUAGGUGGGGGAACGGCUCACCUAGGCGACGACCCCUAGCCGGUCUGAGAGGUUGAUCAGCCACACUGGAACUGAGACACGGUCCAGACUCCUCCGGGAGGCAGCAGUGGGGAAUCUUGCGCAAUGGGCGCAAGCCUGAUGCAGCCAUGCCGCGUGUGUGAAGAAGGUCUUCGGGUUGUAAAGCACUUUCAGUGGUGAGGCGUUACCCGCAGAGGAAGCAACGGCUAACUCCGUGCCAGCAGCCGCGGUAAUAC